AUCGCAAAGCAUACAUGCCAAUUCGUAAGUAUAAUAUCAGAAUAACAUCUAACUGAUGUCAUUAGUGUAAACACGAGCGAAAUGACCGCGCGUACGAUAACAAAAUGAGAUCAUUUUUAUUUCGAAGUGUAAGUCCAAAUUUGUCUCCAACUGAAUGACUUAAGUACCUAUACAAUAGAGAUAUGACUCACAACCUUGUCGCCUUAGCUAGCCACUGGACGUAUCUAAUUAUUCAAAUAUGUAGGAGUUCGCUUUUUUUUAUUACAAGUGUUUAAGAAGAAAAGGUGACAGUUCAAAGUUGUGGUUUUUGGUUGUGUUCUUCUAGUGGUCUUUUAAGAUGCGGUCCACAUUAUCUAUUAUUUUGAUCCUCAUUGCUUACAUGGACAUCACAUUUGGAGCGAGGAUUGUUCAACAGGACAUCGGUACAAGUUCCUUAAUUAUUGGCACAAUAUUAAGCAACGGUGACGUCAACGAAGAAAACAUUGGCACAAUAUUAAGCAACGGUGACGUCAACGAAGAAAACAUUGGCACAAUAUUAAGCAACGGUAGCGUCAACGAAGAAAACAUUGGCACAAUAUUAAGCAACGGUGACGUCAACGAAGAAAACAUUGGCACAAUAUUAAGCAACGGUGACGUCAACGAAGAAAACAUUGGCACAAUAUUAAGCAACGGUAGCGUCAACGAAGAAAACAUUGGCACAAUAUUAAGCAACGGUGACGUCAACGAAGAAAACAUUGGCCCAAGUACAUUAAGCAACGAAGGAAAUUACGAUGUAAAUAUACAAAAUAUCGGGUGGCUCUUAAAAGAAGGAGUAAAAAUUGAAGCCACCACAAUCACCAUUAUGAGAAAGAAGCGUUCGAUAUACUUGAAAAUGCCGGCAGGCUCUAAAGCACAAUGCCCCACCGGAUACAAACGUAAGAAACUUAGAAAUGGCACAAAAAUUUGCGUGGAAAAGGCGAAACUCCGUCAUAAGCGAAAACACUAAGCCGAACAAAGAUCUGAUUUUAAAAUUUGAUAAUGUUUUUGAUAUUUUUUUAUUUAAAGGAACACCAACGGAUAAACAUCUGCACAAUUACAUAGAAACUAGGAAGUAGAACAUUAACAGAUGCUUAGCCACUUAUAGGUGACCACAGCUCACACUUGUACAUAUCUCUCAUGUCUGUAUAUUGUUAUGAUACUCGUAUGAUCGGCAUCAAACAGCGCUAGUGGCGGAUUUAUCGUCUUGCCGCAGGCCACGUAGUACUAGCCAUCGCUUUCUCAGCACCUAACAUAUAGACUGCCACUCUAUCUGACCGCCCAAAGCCCGGGCCUUUUUAGGGUUCCGUACCCAAAGGGUAAAACGGGACCCUAUUACUAAGACUCCGCUGUCCGUCCAUCCGUCCGUCUGUCACCAGGCUGUAUCUCAUGAACCGUGAUAGCUAGACAGUUGAAAUUUUCACAGAUGAUGUAUUUCUGUUGCCGCUAUAACAACAAAUACUAAAAAGUACGGAACCCUCGGUGGGCGAGUCCGGUUUUUAUGAAUACAUUCAUUAGUAAAUAAGGCCUAAUAGGAAAGGUUGACUGGUAGAGAAUGCCUCAUGGCAUUAAGUCCGCCUUUUGUACUAUAAGGUUUUCUUUUGUGCAAUAAAGAUUAAAUAAAUAAAUCGCAGACGUCGCAGACGUUGCAAUCAACCUCUCCGCAACACCUGAUUUUACCCGACGCUGCAACAAUCAUCUGUUAUAGAUGUCGUGGCCAAUAUAUAUAUAGUAAAUCAAAGAUAUAUUUUCAAAUGUGAAUAAAAACACAUAAAAAUUAUUUUAUUGGUGAUGAUACUGAUGAUAAUGGCACCUUUGGCAGCUCUUAUAUGUUGUUAAGCAGUGUUGCCCGAAAUUUAAUUAGAAUUGACCAUAUUAACCAUCACAAAUUGAACCGUAAUAAUUUAUGAAUAUCCUCUGCACCAACAUAUAUGUCUCUGUUUGACCCAAUGGUUGACUGGUAGAGAAUGCCUUUUGGCAUUAAGUCCGUCAUUUGUACAUUUUUCUUUGUUUGUGCAAUAAAGUUUAAAUAAAAUAAAUAAAUAACCGUAAACCGUAACGGACGGUUAUAUUUUACGGUUCAAUUUGUAAUAGUUAAUUUUGAACAUUUUCUAGUCUAAUUAACGUUCGUCCAACACUGUUAAAAGGGUUUUAUUUUCGGUUAUAUUUCCAAUAUUUAAUUAUAGCUAUCAGUUGUAUUUUACGUAAUGUUUAUUUUUUUCGUUUGAAAACGUCAUUAUACUGAAAUAAGUAAUUUAUUUAAAAUACCAUUAACGAUAUCAUGUCUUAUAUAUUUAUUCAAAAACGAUAUAUUUGCUCAAUCUCAUUCUUAUUGCGGUUUAAUAAUACCUAUUGGCUAGCGGCCGCUAUAAAUGACAGCGCAUUUUAGAAACAGAGUUGUGUGCGCCCUUAGACAACGGCGAUGGCUUACCAUCCAGUGAGCCGUAUGCCUGUUUGCCACCGACGUGAUAUAAAACAACUAUAGACUGUCGUAUAUAGAAAGUCCUUGACUGACAGUCUCGAAAAUGUACUUACGGCGAUCUUAAACAGACUGCUAAGUCGAUUUUUACCAAAUCUAAACCAAAAAGCACUAGAGCAGCUAAACUCUAAAAUAAAACCAGUCUGGUUUCUACGAAGCCAAAGAUGCCUACACACAAAAAAAAACCUCUAGUAUAAGACUCAAGCCAAGACGCAGCGCCAUCUGUUAUUUGAAAGGCGAUACUGGAAUCACCAAGUGAACAAUGGAGAAUACAACUGGCAAUCUUGUUGUCUAUGGCAUUGUCGAAUUCCCUGUAAAAAUGGUACCGUCGAGAGCGUCUACAGUCGUUGAACAGAUGUCAAAUUCAAAAUGGAGGUGCCAUCCAAGGAAAACGCGGGAUUAAUGAUAUAAAUAUGUCGUGUGGUUCAUAAUUAAAGGAGCCAAAAUGGGAAGAACACGUCCCGUAUACUCAACAACACAAUGUCACAGCCGUCCGAAGACCUGGCAGCUUCCUCGCUCAACGUAUCAGCCUAUCACCUAACCUUGGGUACUAUGCCGCUGCGCCGGCGCCAUUUUAAGAUUUAUAUUGUCAUUUAAUUUUAGUUUAGGUUUAAUCAUAAUGAUAAGACAUUAACACUUAACAUAUUAUAUUAAUUUUUGUAGGAAGGACAUGAGAAUUGUUUUUAGAAACUGUCAAUAAUUACUUGAACAAAUACUACCUACCUACUUGAUGUAAAAUCUUUUAACUUUAAUAAUUAACACAUCCACUGCCAGGCAAAAAACGGCGCACUACCCCAGAAACCGGUGGUCUAUAGCUGCGUACAAAACAACCCGCCCAGCGGGUUGUCCGGCAUCUGAAUCUGUUAUUAAUUAUAAUGUUAGUUAAGUAUUUAAUUUAUUUGUAUAAUAACCAAAUGCCAGGGGUUAUCGACGUUAUCGUAUAAGGAAAAAAAAUAAUGGCGAUAAACAGUCGUACGAUACUGGACUAUACUCCAUUAGAUAAGAUAAUUUUAUCUCAGCUAUUCCACGAAAAGUCUACUUUGACAGAAACGUGACGCUUAUGACAGCUACCUUAAGCCAUACACACUAGGAUAUGCCUGUACAGUUCAACUGUACAAGUAAAGCUGUAUAGGAAACUGCACAGUCGAAUGCCACACACGCUCCGUUUUACCUGUGCAGUUGAUAAAACUGCAAGUGUGUAUGGCCAGCUUUAGCUAGGGCGACUGUACAGAGCGGGCGCACGCACGCGGGUGCCAUUGUAGGUAAAAUCGGCAGCACGCGUCCGCGUCAGUUAGCGUUGCUCAUACUAUAUUUCGUUAACCUGCUCACCCGCUCCGUGCACCCGCGCCAGCGAGCGGACGCGCAAAAAAAUCUACAGAAGUCUGAAUCAUAAACCCCUGACUAAAGCUAAGUUAUCUCUAUCAGAAGUAAUGCCACUAUUCAGCUUUUUAGAUUUAUCAGAAGUGUUAAAAAGGGCUUUGGUUUCAGUGCACCUAAAUAUCAUAAUGCCAAUGUCCCAAAUUUCAAAACAACCGAGUCCCAGAAUGCCUUAAUAUCAAAUUGUGUUUUUUUUUUAAUGGCCAAAUGUCAUAACGACUUUUAUCUAUAUCGUCCAAGUCUCAAAAUACCCAAAUGUCAAAAAGUAUCUUUCGUUAAACGCCGAAUUUCCGACAGACUCCUUUUUUAAAUAUAUUAAGUUUAGGCUAUAUCUAAAAUCCAUUUUAAAACCUUUAUCGUAUUAACAAUAUUAUUUUUACAAUCUGCGGUGGCAUCAUGGUUCCAUUUUUAUCACUUGUCACUAUGCCUGUCACAUUCGCGCUUACAUACGUGUUAGAACGUGACAGGUAUGGUGACAAAUGAUAAAAAGACGACCAUCUUAGCCCUACAGUAGGGCAUAGUGACAAGUGAUAAACAUGGAACCCAUGUUGCCACCGCUGCUGGAACUAAAGAUGAUAAUAUUGGAUAAAAUAGCAUUCAUUAAUGCAGGUAAUUUGAGAUUUGGCAUUUUGGGAAUGUGUUUUUUUUUUUGAAAAAGCGGCCCAGUGCGAAUCGGACUCGCACAGGAAGGGAUCCGUACCAUUAUCUAUAAAAACGGUCACCCAUCCAAGUACUAACCCCGCCCGACGUUGCUUAACUUUGGUGAUUGGAUGAGAAACUCGAGAUUGGAAAGAAAUAUUUAUUUUAUUCUUUUUUUAGUAUUUGUUGUUAUAGCGGCAACAGAAAUACAUAAUCUGUAGAAAUUUCAACUGGCUAACUAUCACGGUUCAUGAGAUACAGCCUGGUGACAGACGGACCGACGGACGGACGAACAGCGGAGUCUCAGUAAUAGGGUCCCGUUUGACCCUUUGGGUACGGAACCCUAAAAAACGUUAGGCAUUCUGAGAUUCAGGCAUUAUAACACUAUUUCGUUUUGAGAUCCAGUUAUUUUUGUAAAUGGGUAAUAGUAGUUUAUGUGACUGCUACAUAAUAAAAGGCAUUAAAAUACACGAGUGUGGGUUUAAGAAACGAACGAAGUGAGUUUCUUAAAAAGAUCACACGAGUGUUUUAAUGCCUAAUUAUGUACAGUUACAUACACUAUUUUAUCUACACACAUAUUAUAAACUUUCUAUGAAAUAUUCACUAACCCAAAUUACAGCCUCCGUUAGGGCUUCGUUGCCAAAUCGUUGCUCUCUUGGCGGAACUCGCGGAUAUGUGGUGGCGUCACCGGAAUAUUUUUAUCGCUUAUUUUACACGGAAUUUUUGCUAUAGUUACCUUAAAAACAACAAAACAUAUUCAUUUUAUACUUAAAACUAUUAAAAGAUAAACUGUACGUCAAAUGGCGGUAAAUGAAUACUUUUUUCACAAACUAGAG